CUAUUACAAGGAGUUCCCUCCAAACACUUUACAAAACCUUUUUGAGAGCUUAUGUGAAGUGUUUGGAGGAACUCUCAGUGUAAU
rnacentral:pre_miRNA from 1 species